CCCCCACGUUGGCUGCCCGUGCAGCUGCAGGCUGAGGGCAGGGCCUGGGAUCUGGGGCUGAAGAGACCCUCUGAUUCCAGGACCACCUGGUGUGCUUCCUGCCAGGGACGCUGGCUCUGGGCGUCUACCACGGCCUGCCCGCCAGCCACAUGGAGCUGGCCCAGGAGCUCAUGGAGACUUGUUACCAGAUGAACCGGCAGAUGGAGACGGGGCUGAGUCCCGAGAUCGUGCACUUCAACCUUUACCCCCAGCCGGGCCGUCGGGACGUGGAGGUCAAGCCGGCAGACAGGCACAACCUGCUGCGGCCAGAGACCGUGGAGAGCCUGUUCUACCUGUACCGUGUCACAGGGGACCGCAAGUACCAGGACUGGGGCUGGGAGAUUCUGCAGAGCUUCAGCCGGUUCACGCGGGUGAGCGCCUGUCCUCGCCCCCCGUGGUCAUGGCCACUGGGCCACAGGCACGGCUGGGCUGUGGGGCUCAGGCUGGCUCCACCCUUGGUGGUGGCUGUGGCCUGGGUCCGGGAGGGGCGGGCUUGCUGCAGCCUCGGGGUGGCC
rnacentral:sRNA from 1 species